AUAAAAGUAAAGUUGAUUCAAUAUUAAUAAAGAAUAAACUUUUUUUCAAAAUAUAAAUAAAAUAAAAUAAAAUAAAAAAACCCAAAUUCAGAUUAAAAAACAAUUCAAUGGUACAUAAAAAAACUAAAAACCUUUAUUCAAUCACAUCACACUUAUCAACACCACACUUCACACUUGAGUGUAUAGAGGUAAAGUGGUACUGCAAAUCUGCAAUUCUUUUCAAGGAAAGACUAAAGAAAGAAAGAAAGAAAAUCUACAAAUAGUGAUAUCAGUCAUCAAUUUUUGAUUGUCUUCUUCAUAGGCAAGGAAGUACGACACCUGCACGAUGGAUCCAACAAGCAACUCCAGCAGUCUAGAAGGCGGCACUAGCAGUCCAGAACGUGGCACCAGCAGUUGGGCAGGCGGCAGAUUGACAUACACGUUUUCAGGGAAACAAUUCGUCCUCUUGAUUUUUUUAAGGACCUCGAUUUUUAAGAGGGCGAAAUUUCAGUUGUGCUUGAGCAGUGUUAUUUGCAAUGCGUAAAGGUUGAUUGCAGGUGGGGUCUGGUGUGAGAUCUCGACGUAGAAACCGUAAUAAUCAACACUAUGUUUUACCUUUUGUAUUAGAUUGUGAGUAGAGAGAAACUCUGAAUUAAUGUAACAAAAGAGAUAGUUUUCUUUUCGUUUCCGCUAUUUCGAUUAGUUUGUUUAGAGGCCUCUAGGCUCUCGAGUUGUACGUUAGAGCUUCCGCUGACUUAUUACCUUUCACAUUGGUUUUGUUUUCUGUUUAUCUAUAUUUCUUUAUCGACGGAACGUUGACGGUCCUAGAGAAAAGUCUUCUCUGGAGUCCAAAAAGUGAACCGAAAUUUGUAUUUUCAUAUGGAUUUUCGGGUCACUUAAACGGGACCGUUACAUGUAAAUAACAUACUCACCUCGAAAAAGAUUGCUGGUAUCGACAAAAAGAAAAAGCAAACUAUUCCGAAAAUAAUAAUUUUGGAGAUCAAAUAUUUUACACUAGAUUAAAUGCACAAGAAAAAGUAAGUGACAUAUGGUAUAUUGAUA